rnacentral:rRNA from 1 species
UCGAUCUGGGCGUAAGCGUGCGYAGGCGGUUYUGUAAGUCUGGYGUGAAAUCCCUGGAGCUCAACUSSGGAAUUGCGCUUUGAUACUGCAUUGCUAGAGUGGGGCAGAGGUGGRCUGGAAUUCCCCGUGUAGCGGUGAAAUGCGUAGAUAUCUGGGAAGAACACCRGUGGCGAAGGCGGCCCMCUGGGCCWUUACUGACGCUCAUGCACGAAAGCCUGGGGAGCAAACGGGAUUAGAUACCCCGGUAGUCCUCGCCGUAAACGAUGA